rnacentral:rRNA from 1 species
GUGGGGAAUCUUGCGCAAUGGGCGAAAGCCUGACGCAGCCAUGCCGCGUGAAUGAUGAAGGUCUUAGGAUUGUAAAAUUCUUUCACCGGGGACGAUAAUGACGGUACCCGGAGAAGAAGCUCCGGCUAACUUCGUGCCAGCAGCCGCGGUAAUACGAAGGGGGCUAGCGUUGCUCGGAAUUACUGGGCGUAAAGGGCGCGUAGGCUGACAGCUUAGUCAGAGGUGAAAGCCCAGGGCUCAACCUUGGAAUUGCCUUUGAUACUGGCUGUCUUGAGUUUGGGAGAGGUGAGUGGAACUCCGAGUGUAGAGGUGAAAUUCGUAGAUAUUCGGAAGAACACCAGUGGCGAAGGCGACUCACUGGCCCAAUACUGACGCUGAGGCGCGAAAGCGUGGGGAGCAAACAGGAUUAGAAACCCCUGUAGUCC